UAUUUAAACUGCAAUAAGAAAUACUUAACUUAAGAGAAUUAAGAGAAAGGAUUAUGUUAAUAAGAGUGGGAGAGAGAGUGAGAGUGUGUUGUAAAGGAAAGUUCUGAAAGGAUGGCCCUUUAUCAUCAGAGAAGGGCCCAUGAUGAAGGCCACAGAUAUGAGGGAAUUUUGCUGACCAGAGGUGACAGCAAGACCCUCGUCACAUCACAAGACAUAAUGCUUGACAGGCUAGUCGAGAGUAUGACUGACAGGUUCCAGGAUGCCAGUGUGAGGGUCCUGUGUGCCACCAAGCUGGUCAGCUUCACCAACUGGCCAGUGUCAGGAGAUGCAGCAGCAGGUUACUUUAUGUUUUGUAUUACAGAUUUUGGAGACACUGAACUGGAAACCCUGGUGGACCACUUCCUGUCCUGGAGACCACUGGCAUCCAUGUUGAAAGGAUCCCUGACCAGUGAACUGUCCUGAAGUUGCUGAUGUACCAAGAGUCCCAGUCCCUGCAGAAGAUGUCCUGGUUCCUUGUCAACAGGAGCCAUCAGCAUUCCUGUCCUGGUUUUCUGGCAUUUGUUGACCUGGUCCUGUCCUUCCCUGCCUCCAUAGCUGAAUGUGAAAGAGGUUUUAAUACCAUGAAACCGGUGAAAACCGAUUGGCGGUCCAACCUAAAGUCUGACACACUGUCAGAUCUCCUUAUGGUCCAGCUGUCCUCUCCAGAGAUCAGGGAGUAUGAUCCUUUAAAAGUAUUGAUGCUGUGACAUGGACCAUGCAAAGAGAGGGUGAGGAGUUCUGAGGUUUAAGUUGAUUAAAAUGAUUAAGCAUCUGAUAGGUUUACAAAACCUUCAAAUUUACUUUUAUGUUUGAUCCUUAAGUACAUUUAAUAGCAAAUACUUCAGUAGAAUUUUGAGUUUAAGACUUCUUCUGUUGUAUUCAGGCUGGGAAUUUAAAUCUAGCCACAGCCAAAAUUAACCAGCAUCUGAUAAGCCUCUUUUUUUACCUGUAUUUAAUCAGGGUAUUUCUAAUCAAAGUAAAGGAUUUGUAUCAGGAGAGCACCAGUUCUAUGUCCACUGUACUUCUCAUAAUUGUAUUUUACCAUUGCUGUUGCCCUGUUUUCACUUCUAUGUACUCUUAUUCAUUGUAUCUUUUAUGUUUUGUUUAUUUCAUUGUGUGCCCAAUGUUUGGUGUUUUUGCACUCUGUACAGCACUUUUGGUCAACUACAGUUGUUUUUAAAUGUGCUCUACAAAUAAACUUGAUUUGAUUAACUCUU